UGACAAUAUCAUUCAACCUCAGCAUUCAGUUGAUUCCUCAAUUUUGCAUUAGUGGCGCCAUCUCAGGAAAAUCCACCCAGAUAAUUUGCUCUAAAGUAUAACACGUUUUAUUUAUUUUUCAACAGAUGGCCUUGCAUCGUAGGCUGCUCUUCAACUGAUUAUGACUGUCAACAAAAGAAGCUUUCAUCUGAGGAGAGCAGAGAAGCAAUUGUUGGAACUGUUGAUUUCUGUAUCUAAAAAUUACUGCUCUCCACGGUUACAAGCACUUUUGGUAGCUAUGAAUAAAUAACCUGGAAAAACAAGAACUAUAGCCAAAAGGAAGCACGUGUUUCUGAAAGAAGCGUGACCAGUGACUGGAUGACAUAUACCUAACAGAAAAAAAAGUCCUGCAGAAAACCCUGUCUUCUAUAACCAUGUCUUUGGUGGCUCAGGAAGAAGAGAAUACUGGAGUGAAUUUAUGAUGUAUGACCCACUCAGCUUCCCCUUAAGCAUUUCUUAGAUGAACCCAAGAGAACUCUUCCAGCAUCUUUGAAAAGGGCUACGGUUUUGAUCAUAGUCUGCGUGGAUUCAUUCCUGUCAGGACAAUGAAUUUUAUACUCAUGUCACAGGUGUUAAAGUUGACAGAAAACAGCUGAAAGACACAGCCUUGUGGUGCGAGCCGGGCAGCUGGACACCUUGUGCAUGGAGAAUCUUGAGCAGUUGGUAACAUUUGGCAGCUUAACACAGAAAAAAAAUGACUGCUAGCAAAAUCUCAACUGCUGCUAAUUAGCAGCAAUGAACUGUGGGUAGGACAGUGCGCUUUAAUGUGAGAAGAUUUUUACAGUAACCACCACACUAAGGGGGGAAAUAGAAAGAAAUGCUCCCUAGCUGACCCUCAUGGCAAUCCAAGCUGCAUACUGCAAUAAUCCUGUAAAUUACUAUGCUUUCUUAUACAGUAACUUGGAGUUAAUUAGUAAUUUAACAUUCCUCUACACUAUUAAAUGUCUUUCUUGCAUUAUAUUAUGUUGUUUCAUGGGCUUACCUUAACACUAAUGGGGUUUUGUUAUAUUUUCUCAAAACAGUAACAGUAAAAUAAAA